CUGGAGAAAGCCGCGACUGCAAUGCAGCCAGGAGUGGCCGAUAGCGCUCUCCCAGGCCGGGAAUCGAAGCUAACGACCAGGGGUUAGUGACCGUGUGCCAGCGCCUGGCCCCGCAAACGCAGGACAAUGCCUGAGAAAGGCAAAGCUCGAGCUACCGCCUCACCUUCCGGCCCAAGCUGGGGAAACUCUGGCAAGCAGUUACUACUCGGAAAGUAGUUGGAAAAACGCUUGCCACUAAGUGACGAAUGGAUGCUUUUGUUUUUCUUCAUUAUCAUCAUUAUUAUAGCGGCUUUCUGCUUUAUUGUGCCUGCGCGUACCCUCCCCUCAAGGUCCACCGCGCUUCCUCCACGAAACCACACAGAUACGGUUGGCGAUAACGGCCGGAUCGGGAGGUCCUAGGUCAGAGGGGCCUGAUGCGGGCCUCGCCUGAGGUGAGGGAAGUCAGGCUGCGUUUACACAGCAGUUAACGAGUGCCUUAGCGUCCAAUGGGAAGGCCCGGGACUCGCAGUGCAGAGCAGCUCUGGCAGUGUCCUCCCGGUGGGCUGUGAGGUUACCUGUGAGCCCAGAUACCACUCGUCCAGGCAUUCAUUCGUUGAAUCUUAACAUCGAGUGUCCACUGGGAACACAACGGUAAAUAGACAAAGCCCCAACUUGGUGAGCUGAUUUGCUAGUGAAGGAGAUGACCAGCACAAUCACAUGUACAGAGUGUGAGGAAAAACCAAAAGCAAUGAAGUGGUGGAGAAGUUCUAUUUUUAGACUGUGCAGUUAAGUAAGGCCUCACUAAAGUGACUUUUGCUAAAAUAUUUUUCAAAAACUAAAAUAUAUGUCAUGCAGCCGGGCGCGGUGGCUCAUGCCUGUAAUCCCGCCACCACGUUGGGAGGUGGGCGGAUCACCUGAGGUCGGGAGUUCGAGACCAGCCUGACCAACAUGGAGAAACCCCGUCUCUACUAAAAAUACAAAAUUAGCCGGGCAUGGUGGCACAUGCCUGUAAUCCCAGCUACUCGGGAGCCUGAGGCAGGAGAAUCGCUUGAACCUGGGAGGCGGAGGUUGUGGUGAGCCGAGAUCGCGCCGUUGCACUCCAGCCUGGGCAACAAGAGUGAAACUCUGUCUCAAAACAAUAAAAUAAAAUAAAAUAAAAUAAGAAUGUC
rnacentral:lncRNA from 10 species